rnacentral:rRNA from 1 species
AGCAGCCGCGGUAAUUCCAGCUCCAAUAGCGUAUAUUAAAGUUGUUGCAGUUAAAAAGCUCGUAGUUGAAUUUCGGGAUUGACGUGACGGUCGUGCCUUAAGGGGUAUGAACUGUUACAGUCAAUUUCUCACCUUCUGGAGAAAUAUGAUGUCCUUAAUUGGGUGUCAUAUGGAACCAGGACUUUUACCUUGAAAAAUUAGAGUGUUUAAAGCAAGCUUAUUGCUCGAAUACAUUAGCAUGGAAUAAUAAAAUAGGACGGCAUGAUUCUAUUUUGUUGGUUUCUAGGAUCACCGUAAUGAUUAAUAGGGAUAGUUGGGGGCAUUAGUAUUCAAUUGUCAGAGGUGAAAUUCUUGGAUUUAUUGAAGACUAACUACUGCGAAAGCAUUUGCCAAGGAUGUUUUCAUUAAUCAAGAACGAAAGUUAGGGGAUCGAAGACGAUCAGAUACCGUCGUAGUCUUAACCGUAAACUAUGCCGACUAGGAAUCAGACGAUGUUAAUUUUUAAUGACUCGUUUGGCAC